UUCCCGAGACCCCAUAACAGUUGCUCAUAAAAUGGGAAUACAACCAAAAAGAAAUUUAGAGUCCUAGAACCCCUCCCACCGUCCACUCUUAUCUUUCGACCAACACACAUAAAAAACAAACAACAGAAGGCAAUCCUCAUUUCCAUUGAAAAAGGAACCAAAUUCCUAAUACCUGGAGAAAAACCAGCGAAAUCUUCCCAAAAAAAUCGUCCCAAAAACAGCCAUAAACAUCCCAUUAUAGCUCAAACUUUAACCCAGAAAUUCACCUUCAAUCAGUCCAUAAAUUAUUACCUUUAGCUAUCAAAAUUCGGCCUCAAAAUAAAGCUGAAAACUGCUUCAAACUAGCUAAAAAAAUGCAGCAGAACAGUACCAUAACAACAACGAUUUUGUUCGAGGUCAUUGAGUCGAGGUUUCCACGUCGAGGGGUCUGCCGGAAGUUGUCCGAUCAUGGAAUCUGCUAUAAUGUAAAGUUCAAAAUCAGCUAUAUGCCAAGGUUCCUUUUUCUUUCUAUUCUGUUUCUCUAUUAAUAAUUGGGACCAUUUCAUAUUGUUUUAAUUUCAAGUUUAACAUGAAUGAGUGUUGUUUCUGAGUAUCUUAUGUUCGGACCAUUAUUUUACUCGGUGUUUGUUGGAAAUUUGAAUGAAUAUUUAGUGUUUGCUUGAAUUGUUGAAUUUUGAAAAUAAAGAGGAUAUAUGACUAUGUGAAAUCAUAAAAUAUGAUGGCCUUAUGGGUGUGAGUUUGCCAUCAAUUUUCAUAUUGUUCUUGAGCUUGGAAUACAAGGCAUAUUAAUACUGUGCAUCUGCUUGUGGGAAUUGUGCUACUCGUAUCUGGUAUGUCCGUGAACCAGGUGUGCCCUCUCAAAAAAAAUAAAUUCCUUGAUCGAUAUUUUGGUUCAUACAGUUUUUUAGGAUGUACUUGGUUGACUUUUUCUUUGAAUGAGCACUUGAAAAAGAAACUGUUAUUUUGAGCUGAUUUGAUUUGGUUGAUAAUUCAAAUGAUUGAUUUGUUAUUUGUUUAAAGGCGUAUAAACUAGGCACCAUAUAUGUUGUUGGUUUGAUUUUCAACCAUAGCUGCAAAUGGAAUUAAAGGGUCUAAGUAUUGAAAUGUUUAGGAUGCGGACGAGUUGAAGCAAGUUUACGGCUUAUUUUUAUUUGCUGUAGAUGCAUAGUUAAUGGGACUAAGCAUUUUAAUCAUUCAAGAAAAAGUCAGUCAGAGAUGAUUGCUAGUUUCAGAGGAGGGUUGAGAUUUUUUUAAUGAAUUUUAUCUCAAUUAGUUGAAAAGUUCUCUAAUCUUAAUUGAAUAUUAUGUACCCAAUAAGUCAACAAAUCACUUUCUUGGAAAUCUUUUUUUUCCUUAAAAAUAGAAUAAUUUUGAGGCGUGUUAUGCCAAAUAAAAUCUCAAAACCUAUGGACCUCACUUAAUUAAUUUUAAUCCUUUAGAAAUCGAGGUGUGCCAUUUAGUUGAAUUUUCUAUGGCCCUCGCAAAGUUGUAAAUGCGUAGUUGCAUUAGGCGCUUUAUUUUAUUAAUUUACCUUUCUUAACCCGGGUGCACAUUAUGAGAUCCAAAUCUAAAUCUCAACAACAUUAAUGUGUUGCGGACCGCAGGUGCAUUUAUGUGACGUGGAUCAAGACAUAUUUUAAAUGACGUUAGAAAUCUUUCUUCAUAAAUAAUUAAAAGUGGUUAAGGUUAAAAACACACAUAGGUUUAAAAAUUGUAAUAAAAUUAGAUAAUAGGCCAAUAAUAACAGUUGAGCGAUAGUGCUAGAACCACAGAACUCGGGAAUGCCUAACAACUUCUCCCGAGUUAACAAAAUUCCUUACCCAGUUUUUUGAUUCGCGGACUGUAAUACAGAGUCAACCUUUUCCUUGAUUCGGGAUUUGAACCGGUAACUUGGGACACCAUAAAUUAUCCUAAGUGGCGACUCUGAAUUUUAAAUAGACAAAUAAUCCCGUUUCGAUUGUCACUUUAAUUUGAAAAAAACUACCUUGAUACGCCUUUCCGGAGGUGUAGUAAAAAAGGAGGUAUGACAACACAAGAAAUUUAGAACGACACAGGAAGCUUGCUGGGUAGGAAUGAACACGAUGAUGUUGCCAUGGUUAUUUCAGAGUCAUGACAUGGACCAAAAGGUCCGCCUCACCAACAUACCCAACCUCAACUUCAACCCCAAACUUAGCCCCGAGCUUCACAUAAUCCACCUCAGUAUUAUCCUCGAACCAUGUCCAUUCAUUUGUCCAACCACCAGGUUACUCCCUAUGGCGAGCACCAGCACCGCAUACUGCAUUCUUGCCUUCACAACAUUUUCGAGUGCCCAACAACCCUAGAUAACAGGGGCAGGGAAGAGAACAAAGGCAGAUAAAUAGUUUCACGCCAAUUGGGAGUCCUACACCAGCUUGUUUGAAUAGUUAAAGCAUUCUAGCAUAAUUGAGCAGCUUCUCGGCUAUACUCCAGGCCCAUAUGCAAAAGGCUUUGAUCCUACUGUCUGAUGCAUGUACCACUUUAAUGUCCAAGGGCAUAGCAUUGAAGAUUCGUUCUUUGAAAAGGGAAAUAGAAAGAAUGAUCCAAGAAGGGUAAUUGUGAUCGAUGACGGUGACAUGGAGCAUGCAAAUCCUCUUGGGAACUUGUUGACUUAAGUUGAUGAUAUUGAAAUUGGUAAUGGUCUUGGCAAUAUUGAUGCCGAACUCAGUGGCUAAGGUGCCGUGCUUGGUAAAUGGAAAGACACUCCAUUUCUUGGUCAGCCGGAGAGGAGUUUUAGUGGUUUAUUUUUUUGUCAUUUAUGUUGUCCAGGUUAUUUUCAAGGUUGUAAUUCGGAUAUUGUCUUGUGACUCAAACCCUUCUAUCUUUUAUUUUGCCUAGUUUAUUUAGUCAUAGUAGCUCGUUUAGUAUUGUCUAGGUUUGUUCUAGGUUUGUAACCCCAGUUUCGAAUUGUACUCCCUUUUUCUUAAGGUGCGUGCCUGAUUACCAUACUUGAAUUAUAUUUCCUCGUUCUCCAGGUAGGUGCCUGAUUGCCAAUACUUGAACUGUCUUCAUUCGAAACUUGGACGGCCUUCCUUGAAAUCUGUGCUAUCUUCCUUUGAAACUUGAAUUAUUUUUCUUUAUUUUCUAAGUGGGUGCCUGCUUGCUGGACUUGAGUCGUCUUCCUUUGAACAUUGCUGCCUUCCCUUUGUUCUCCACGUGGGCGUCUAAUUACCAACAUUUGAAUUGUAUUCCUUUCCUCUGAAACUUAAAUUGGUUUCCCUUGAAACUUGAACUAUUUUCCUUUGAAACUUGAACUGCUCUCCUUAUUCUCCAUGCGGGCGCCUGAUUUCCAAAACUUUAAUUGUAUUCCCUUGCUUUCCAGGUGGGCGCCUGAUUGCCAAAACUUGAAAUGUAUUCCCUUGCUCUCCAGGCCCCUUGCUUUCCAGGUGAGCGCCUGAUUGCCAAAACUUGAAAUGUAUUCCCUUGCUCUCCAGGCAGGUGCCUAACUACCAAAAACUUAAACUGUAUUCCCUUGUUCUCCACGUGGGCUCGUGAGUGCCAAAAACUUGAACUGUAUCCCCUUGUUCUCCAGGUGGACGGCUGACUGCCAAAAACUUGAACUGUAUUCCUUUGUUCUCCAGGUGGGCUCCUGACUGCCAAAAACUUGAAUUGUAUCCCCUUGUUCUCAAGGUGGGCACCUAACUACCAAAACUUAAACUGUAUUCCCUUGUUCUCUAGGUCGGCUCCUGACUGCCAAAAGCUUGAACUGUAUCACUUUGUUCUCUAGAUGGGCGUCUGACUGCCAAAACUUGAACUGUAUUCUCUUGUUCUCCAGGUGAGCGCCUGACUUUCAGAACAUGAACUAUAUUCCCUUGUUCUCCAGGUGGGCUCUUGAUUGUCAAAAACUUGAAUUUUAUCCCCUUGUUCUCCAGGUGGACGCCUGACUGCCAAAACUUGAACUGUAUUCUCUUGUUUUCUAGGUGGGCUCCUAACUACUAAAAACUUGAACUGUAUCCCCUUGUUCUCCAAGUGGGCUACUGACUGCCAAAAACUUGAACUGUAUCUCCUUGUUCUCCAGAUGGGCGCUUGACUGCCAAAAACUUGAAUUAUAUUUCCUCGUUCUCCAGGUAGGUGCCUGAUUAGCAUAACUUGAAUUAUAUUCCCUCGUUCUCCAGGUGGGUGCCUUACUACCAAAAAAUGAAUUAUUUUCCCUUGUUCUCCAGGUGUGUGCCUGAUUACCAAAGCUCGAAUUGUAUUCCCUUGUUCUCUAGGUGGGUGCCUGAUUACCAAACUUGAAUUAUAUUCCCUCAUUCUCCAGGUGGGUGCCUGAUUAGCAAAACUCGAAUUGUGUCCCCUUGUUCUCCAGCUGGGUACUUGAUUUGGCUCAGAAUUUUGCAUGCAUGUCAUGUCACUAGAGUCAACAGGAAGAGAACUAUAAAAAGAAAAGAGAACUAAAUCAAAAUGACUAGAAAUUACAGAAUACAAAAAAUUGCAUUAGACAGAUAGUUAAAGGGUUUGGACAACAAAUCAAGCUAACUAAAAUGGGGUUACAAACCUAGAACAAACCUAGACAACACUAAACAAGCUACUACGACUUAACAAACUAGGAAAAAUAAAAGGAUAGAAGGAUUUGAUUCACAAGAAAAUAUCCGGAUUACAACCCUGAAAAUAACCUGGACAGUAGAAAUGCCAACAAAAUGAACCACCUAAACUCCUCUCUGGCUGACCAAGAAAUGGAGCGUCUUUCCAAUUACCAAGCACGACAUCUUAGCCACUGAGUUCCGCAUACUAGUGGAUCCUAAGGGGUUCCUACCACCUUUUUUGGGAUAAUUUCAAGCCCUUACCUUAUCUCUGGUUACCAAACAUAGUUGUAGUUGAACCCCAUUGGUGCCCUAACACACCUUAAAAUCGUUAGGUGGCAAUUCUUCAAAAUUGUAAAACCCCUUUGCCAAAAGGAAAGAGUUGACCUAAUAGAAUGUCAUAAACCCAAUUUUGUAAGAAAAAGGGGGGCGCGACAGGCCCCAGGCACUCAGCCCAUUUCUAUCCCUCCAUACCGUACAUGUCAUUAUAAGUUACUGCCUUAACCUCGUCACUACUUCGUCGAGGUUUGGCUCGGAACUUACAGAGUACAUGGGUCAAUUGUACGCAUACUACACUAUGUACGUUCUUGUGCAGAUUUUGGAAUCGGUCCUAGCGGCGAUCCGUAGAUUGCUCUGUCGGUGAUUGAGUAGAGACUUGAGGUACAAUUGCUCAGUAUCCUCAGCCUUUAAAGUCCUUUUCUUUUUAUUAUAGUUGUGUACUUUCUCUUAGACAUAUCUAUUUUUAUUUGGACCCUUUAUUUGUACUAUUCUGGUAGCUCGUGUACUUGUUACUCCAGAUUCGGGUUGCAUCAGAGAUUUUACUUGAUAUAUUUUACUCUCUUUACAUUAGAGUUUAUCUUACUUAUAUCAGUUUCUUUAUUAUUAUUUAAUUUUCACUGUUGAUAAUGAAUAAAUACUCUAACAUUGUCUUUCCUAGGGAGUGAAAUAUUAGGCACUAUCAUGAUUCCGAAGCUAGGAAUUCUGGAUCACUACAAGUUGGUAUUAGAGCUCUACCUAGGCCUUUCUUCUAGAAUCCACCUCCAAACCACUCGUAUCUAUCACAAUUGACUCGAUAAUGACAAAUAAUUCUAAGGGAAUCAAUUACAGUGCAUAAAGUUAGUAUUUUCACACUUUUCCCAAAAAGCCAAAAAAGUCAAUCCCAGACGUGUUUGGUCGAAACCCGAUAUUUGGACCAACUCCAAUUUACCCAUUCACCUCUGAGCCUGAUUAUGUAAUCAAUUUCAAAAUCUAACCCCAAAUCGAGGUCGAAAUAUCAAAUUCGAAAAAAUCCUCCCAAUUUACCCAUUCAUCUCUGAGCCUGAUUAUGUAAUCAAUUUCAAAAUCUAACCCCAAAUCAAGGUCUAAAUAUCAAAUUCGAAAAAAUCCUAAUUCUUCGUAAACCCCCUGUUUUCUACCGGAGAAGAGCAAAAAUUAAGGCUACAAAUUAAUGGGUGAUGUUAGAAAUGGAUGAAAAUGAGUGAAGGUAUACUAACAUAUGAAUUCGUGCUGAAAUUUCUCCUCCAAAAUCGCCUCUAGGUCGAGCUCUAAUGGAAACGGUGCGAAAAAAGGAUGAAAUCCCAAUUUUGAAACAUUUAAGUCACUGGGCGUCAGGCCUUCUUUGCUUUCGCGAAGGGUGUGAUGCGAUCGCGGAGUGUAGUGGCCCAAGUGGCUGACGCGUUUGCAAGAAGUGCCCUAUAUUUGCGUUGGUUCUCCCCUAUGACCAUCGUGUUCACGACCCUAGGUCCACGUUCGUGUAGCACUGCAAUCCAGUACCUCCAGGUCUAUAACCUUACGCGUUCGCGAAGGUAUGGGCACGUUCGUGAAGGGAUUGCCCCCUACUUUUAUGCUUUCGCAUCCAUCUCCUCGUGUUUGCAUAGAAAAAUUCUCCCCCAGUCCCAAUUUACUUUUCACGAUCGCGGGAGUGUCUUCGCGAUCACAAAGAAGCUUUGACCGAACACCAGCAGAAAUCAAAACCAACAAUUUUCCCAAGACAAAAUGGUCUGAAACCUAGGGCUCCAAACCAAACAUGCACACAAGUCCAAAAAUAUUAUAUGAACUUGUUCGCGCGAUCAAAGCACCAAAAUAACACCUAAAACUACGAAUAAAAAAUCAAAACUUAUGAAAUUUUUAAUAAAGCUUAAGAUCUUUUAUUUUAACAACUAGACGUCCGAAUCAUGUCAAAAAACUCUGUUUUGUACUAAAAUUUGCACACGUCAUAAAUACAGUAAUGAACAUAUACCAAGCUCCGAAACCGAAAUUUGGACCCGGUAGAAACAAUAAAUUCUUUAAACCUUUAAUCAUUGAAUUUGUAACAAAUUGUAUAACUCGAGCUAGGGACCUUUGAAUUCGAUUCUGGGCAUACAUCCAAGUCCAAAAUCAAGAUACUUACCCAUCAAGACCAUCAAAAUAUAUAUAUCCAUAUUUGUUUGCUCAAAAUGUUAAUCGAAGUUAAUUCAAAUAUAUUUUAAGGCACAAAUUUACAUUUUAAUCAAUUUUCAUAUAAAAGCCUUCCGAAAAAAUACAUAGAUUGUACAUGCAAAUUGAGGAAGACUGAAAGGAUCUAUUUGAGAUUUCGAAAUACGGAAUCAAGGGUUAAAACUCUAGAUAACAUAUUGGAUCAUCAAAAUACAUGAUUCUUGACGAGACUAAGUAAAUAUAAUGUUGAGAUUUUAUUCUGGGUCAGAAGAGGAGGUUAGGGAACUGAGAGAAAUCCAUAAGCCUUUUCAUGAAUUAAAUAGGUAUAUUAUAUAAACAGGCUAAAAUGUUAUAGAUUAUGAACUAAUUGAAGUACUCAUAGUAUGGGUAAAUAUAAUUCGGCAAAUUGAUGGUCAAACAUGAACCUCUUAUGAUAAUAUAUAUUUUAAAUUAGUUAUGAAUUAGUUUGAACUAGAAAAUUGACAUGAGAUUGAUAUGAUGUGAUUGUAGAUUGAUCAGAGUAAGUUGUGCGGAUUGCUCGAGGUAAAGUGUUUAUUAAUUCAAUACGAGUAAUGUGAGUAGUAUCCUUACCGCAAUUUGUGUUUCCAUAACUUACAUGAUUUACACAUGAUUUUUAAUAUAAACACGUUAUCGAUUAUUUUAAAUUUGCAUGUGGGAAUAGUCCUUUAUUCAAUAUGAUACCGAUGCAAAUAUUUGAGAUGAUUACAGUUGUUAUGAAUAUUCUCACUGUUACUAGAUAGAUUUUACCGUUACUUAAGUUAUGAUUACUCUUAUCGAAUGAAAUUACAUGAUUUGAUAAGAACUAAAUGCCUUGUACUAUUUUAAAAAUAUUUUCAUAUAAGUAUUGAAGGAUUAUAAUGACAAGUAUAAAUGGGAGGAGACUUUGAAGGAUCUCAUAGCUAACGACGGGUUCGUUAGACAUGGUGCACCUUUUAUUUACAGAUUACCUAUUAUGCCCUCAUUAGUGAGAAGGUAGAACUGACAUACAAUUGUAGUCUUCCCUCAAGUAAGGACCUAAAAUUAUAAUUAACUCCUUCUAUGAAGGGGCCCACACAAUGAUGAAAAUUACACGUUCCUUUUCUAGAAAACCCCAAAUAUAAUUCUAUGAAGGGGCCCACACAAUGAUAAAAAUUACACGUUCCUUUUCUAGAAAGCCCCAAAUAUAAAGAUUUGCUAUGAGACAGUAUUUGUUGACUUUAUCACCAAAUUGUUAAAUCGAUUUUGUUACAGAAAACACAUGAUGAGACUGAUUAUUAUUACCAUUUUAAAAAGGGCAUUUAUUUUUAUGAUAGUUCUGCUUAUUAUUGUACAAGCAUGUUUUAUGAAUUUCCCCCAUUAUAUACGGUUUUGGUUAAGUGUUUUUACUCACUAAACUAGUGACUCACUCUAUGCUAUUUUUUACAAAGACAGCAGUUGACGCAUGCAAGGAUUUCGUUAAGCAGAGCGCAUAUGUUGAUAGUUCUUG
rnacentral:lncRNA from 1 species